rnacentral:tRNA from 1 species
GCCGCUGUGGCGGAAUGGCAGACGCACUCGACUCAAAAUCGAGCGGGAAACCAUGUGGGUUCAAGUCCCACCAGCGGCACCA